rnacentral:rRNA from 1 species
AAGGAGUGUGUAACAACUCACCUGCCGAAUGAAUUAGCCCUGAAAAUGGAUGGCGCUGAAGCGGGGAGCCGACACUACGCCGUUUGGCAUAGAAUGUUCAAAUGAGUAGGAGAACGUGGCGGUUGUAUAGAAGCGUGUGCGCGAGCAUGCGUGGAACGGCCGCUAGUGCAGAUCUUGGUGGUAGUAGCAAAUAUUCAAAUGAGAACCUUGAAGGGCGAAGUGGGGAAGGGUUCCACGCGAACAUUGAUUGAGCGUGGGUGAGUCGUUCCUAAGCCGUCUGGUAAUAGCUAGGCACCGGCGAAAGGGAAGCAGGUUGAUAUUCCUGCACACGAAAUGUAGAUGCGGUGACGCGCGCUGUGGCGAUGACGUUGUCGGGACGCACUGGGCAGAGAUUUCUUUUCUGUUUGACAGAUCCCUGCGUACGCUGUGGAAUCCGCUUGUCGGGAGAAACAGGUAUGUAGUGGCAGAGCGCUAGGUAUUUUCUGGCGUCCAGUUCGCGACCGGCGACCCUUGAAAAAUCGUCCGCGAGAAACUUCUACUUCGUAACGUACCCAUAACCGCAUCAGGUCCCCAAGGUGAACAGCCUCUGCUCAGUAUGAAAAA